GGCUCCUUGAGUAAAUUUUUAUAGGGAGUCAUACCUGCCCGGUGAUAAAAAUUUAACGGCCGCGGUACUCUGACCGUGCAAAGGUAGCAUAAUCAUUUGCCUUAUAAUUAAAGGCUUGUAUGAAGGGUUUGAUGAGAGUCAAGCUGGCUCCUGUUAAUUAAAAUAAAAUUAGCUUUUAGGUGCAAAGACCUAAAUUAAACUAAAAGACAAGAAGACCCUAUUGAGCUUUGAAAAUCCUGUGGCAUAUAAUAUUACAACUUGUUGAAUUGCAGUCUACUAGUUUUUCUUA
rnacentral:rRNA from 1 species